GUGGAUGUAGCGCAGUGGUAGCGCUCCUGAUUGUGGUUCAGGCGGUCGCGGGUUCAAAUCCCGUCAUCCACCCCA
rnacentral:tRNA from 1 species